rnacentral:rRNA from 1 species
CCUGGCUCAGGAUGAACGCUGGCGGCGUGCUUAACACAUGCAAGUCGAACGGUGAAGGAGAAGCUUGCUUCUUUGGAUCAGUGGCGAACGGGUGAGUAACACGUGAGUAACCUGCCCCAGACUCUGGGAUAAGCACUGGAAACGGUGUCUAAUACCGGAUACGAGCUUCAGCCGCAUGGCUAGGAGUUGGAAAGAAUUUCGGUCUGGGAUGGACUCGCGGCCUAUCAGCUAGUUGGUGAGGUAAUGGCUCACCAAGGCGACGACGGGUAGCCGGCCUGAGAGGGUGACCGGCCACACUGGGACUGAGACACGGCCCAGACUCCUACGGGAGGCAGCAGUGGGGAAUAUUGCACAAUGGGCGCAAGCCUGAUGCAGCAACGCCGCGUGAGGGACGACGGCCUUCGGGUUGUAAACCUCUUUUAGUAGGGAAGAAGCGAAAGUGACGGUA